CUACUUCAUGGCAGAGGAGAUCCAUGAUCGCGAAGGUCUUCCCAGGGCGAGGCUCGCCCGUCGCACUCUGGGUGUGCUGGCCCCUGCCGUUUCCCCACACUUGAGGUAGUGGGGGACUGCGUUUGUGCUCCCCUGUC
rnacentral:snRNA from 11 species